ACGGGAAAAUCAUCCCGGUUUUAAUUUUCAGGAGGUUGCUGGAGGAGGGCAUCCCACGGGAAGAGAGAAUCGGAAAACUUCAGACUGAUGAAUGGGGAAAAGUUUGCGCAGCAGCCCUGAUCGGCAGCCAGCAGUGGCUGCUGGCAGCUGAGGUGACCUUUCAGAGGAGAAAACCCCUUCCCAGCCAAAAAGGUGGCAGAUGCUUUGUGCAGGGAGGAAAGCUUGUGGCAAAGCCUGAAACUUAGAUUUCAGCUGGCAAAGAGAGCAGCUGAAGGGCACAUGAGGCUGCUCCAGGCACCUGAGGGAGGGCUCAGCUCCCUGAGGAGCGGCGCUGGAAGGCGCUCAUCCGUCUGUGCUUUCUGUCACUUCACUGCAGCCAAAUGCCACCUGUGCCACCGCGUCCAAGCUCAUCAAGUGCCUGAUAACGGGGACUGAACACACCGUGUGCCCACAAGUGUCCCUGUUGCUCUGUUCAGGUUUCAGCCCUGUCUCUGUGAGAGAUAACACACACACCUGCUGCUUAGAGAGGAGGCCACUCAGGGGCUGUAAUAUUACCCAGAACAGGUAUCCUUGAGAUGACUUGCCAGCUGCCAGCCAGCAAGCACCAUGUGCCCUGUGUGCCCUGCUCAGCCAGCCAGCAGCCCAGACAAGUUGCUUUCCCAGCUGUGUAACACCAGGCUGAAACAGAGGAAAAUAGGCAGAAGAUUUGCAAGGCAGGAAAACAAACAGAGUCAUACGAGUCCUUCAUCCUGGGUCACAUCCCUGCUUCAACAAGAUACCAUUUAACCUCAGAGUGAACCUGAUUUCCAUGGGCCAUGGGAACAGUUACAUAACAAUGAACAGUUGAAACACAAAUAGAAAAUGAUUUUACAAAUCAAA